rnacentral:lncRNA from 1 species
AGCAGGCUGAGUCAGCCACGGACUGGUAAGGGGCCUGGAACAAGGACAGCUUACUGCUCCUGAAUAGGGCAAGGAUGACUCGGCAAUGAGGACGAAGCAGCCAAGUGGAGCUCCUCAUCACCUUCUUCUCUUCUUACCUUCCUUCCUCUUUCCUUCUCUGUGCCCAGCGAUGGAGGGACUGAACAAUAGGAUCUUCCUUGUGCAGACAUCAAUUCCCAGACCCAGCUUGUGCAAAAGAGGGAGCUAG